GGGACGGUAGUUCAAACGGAAGAACGCUAUGACAUCAAUCGUGGAAGUUGGAGGUUCGAGUCCUCCUCGUCCCC
rnacentral:tRNA from 1 species